GAUAAUUGGAGCAUUAAGGGAAAGCGUAGGAAGACAACCGGCACUGGUCGUCUUAGGCAUUUGAGAAAAGUUUGGAGGCGUUUCAGGCAUGGAUUCAGAGAAGGUGGUCAGGCUAAACCCCAGAAACACGGUGUUGCAGCAUCUGGUGCAUCUAAAUAAUUGGAUCAGUUAAUAAAAUAUUUCCAUCA